GGAGAAAGUAACCGACUUGGGAAGAGGAGGUUCCACUGCCGUUACGGCUAUAUUGAUUGAUGGUCUCAAGCUUGUGGUAGCGAAUAUUGGAGAUUCUCGGGCAGUGAUUUCCGAGAAUGGUAUCGCAAAGCAGCUUUCAGUUGAUCAUGAACCGAGUAAAGAGCGAGAACAAAUUGAAGAGAAGGGUGGUUUUGUGUCAAAUAUUCCAGGAGAUGUUCCCCGUGUUGAUGGGCAGCUGGCCGUGGCUAGGGCAUUUGGAGAUCGAAGCUUGAAGAGACAUCUCAGUUCUGAACCGGAUGUGGUGGAAGUCGAUAUAGAUGUGGGCACAGAAUGUAUAAUCCUGGCAAGCGAUGGUUUAUGGAAGGUUAUGUCGAACCAAGAGGCGGUCGAUUUGAUCAAGGAUAUAAAGGAUCCGCAGUCGGCAGCCAAGCAUCUGACUGAGGAGGCUGUUACCAGAAAGAGCAAGGAUGACAUCUCUUGUAUUGUUGUAAAAAUUUACUGAUUCUUUCUUUAUGUCUUCAGAGUGGAAC
rnacentral:misc_RNA from 1 species